rnacentral:rRNA from 1 species
UACGGAGGGUGCAAGCGUUAUCCGGAUUGACUGGGUUUAAAGGGUGCGUAGGUGGGUCUGUAAGUCAGUGGUGAAAUCUCCGAGCUUAACUCGGAAACUGCCAUUGAUACUAUAGGUCUUGAAUUAUCUGGAGGUAAGCGGAAUAUGUCAUGUAGCGGUGAAAUGCUUAGAUAUGACAUAGAACACCAAUUGCGAAGGCAGCUUACUACGGAUUGAUUGACACUGAGGCACGAAAGCGUGGGGAUCAAACAGG